UUAAGUUAUUAAGGGCGCACGGUGGAUGCCUUGGCACUAGAAGCCGAUGAAGGACGUUACUAACGACGAUAUGCUUUGGGGAGCUGUAAGUAAGCUUUGAUCCAGAGAUUUCCGAAUGGGGAAACCCAGCAUGAGUUAUGUCAUGUUAUCGAUAUGUGAAUACAUAGCAUAUCAGAAGGCACACCCGGAGAACUGAAACAUCUUAGUACCCGGAGGAAGAGAAAGAAAAUUCGAUUCCCUUAGUAGCGGCGAGCGAAACGGGAAGAGCCCAAACCAACAAGCUUGCUUGUUGGGGUUGUAGGACACUCUAUACGGAGUUACAAAGGACGACAUUAGACGAAUCAUCUGGAAAGAUGAAUCAAAGAAGGUAAUAAUCCUGUAGUCGAAAAUGUUGUCUCUCUUGAGUGGAUCCUGAGUACGACGGAGCACGUGAAAUUCCGUCGGAAUCUGGGAGGACCAUCUCCUAAGGCUAAAUACUCUCUAGUGACCGAUAGUGAACCAGUACCGUGAGGGAAAGGUGAAAAGCACCCCGGAAGGGGAGUGAAAUAGAACCUGAAACCGUGUGCUUACAAGUAGUCAGAGCCCGUUAAUGGGUGAUGGCGUGCCUUUUGUAGAAUGAACCGGCGAGUUACGAUUUGAUGCAAGGUUAAGCAGUAAAUGUGGAGCCGUAGCGAAAGCGAGUCUGAAUAGGGCGUUUAGUAUUUGGUCGUAGACCCGAAACCAGGUGAUCUACCCUUGGUCAGGUUGAAGUUCAGGUAACACUGAAUGGAGGACCGAACCGACUUACGUUGAAAAGUGAGCGGAUGAACUGAGGGUAGCGGAGAAAUUCCAAUCGAACCUGGAGAUAGCUGGUUCUCUCCGAAAUAGCUUUAGGGCUAGCCUCAAGUGAUGAUUAUUGGAGGUAGAGCACUGUUUGGACGAGGGGCCCCUCUCGGGUUACCGAAUUCAGACAAACUCCGAAUGCCAAUUAAUUUAACUUGGGAGUCAGAACAUGGGUGAUAAGGUCCGUGUUCGAAAGGGAAACAGCCCAGACCACCAGCUAAGGUCCCAAAAUAUAUGUUAAGUGGAAAAGGAUGUGGCGUUGCCCAGACAACUAGGAUGUUGGCUUAGAAGCAGCCAUCAUUUAAAGAGUGCGUAAUAGCUCACUAGUCGAGUGACACUGCGCCGAAAAUGUACCGGGGCUAAACAUAUUACCGAAGCUGUGGAUUGUCCUUUGGACAAUGGUAGGAGAGCGUUCUAAGGGCGUUGAAGCAUGAUCGUAAGGACAUGUGGAGCGCUUAGAAGUGAGAAUGCCGGUGUGAGUAGCGAAAGACGGGUGAGAAUCCCGUCCACCGAUUGACUAAGGUUUCCAGAGGAAGGCUCGUCCGCUCUGGGUUAGUCGGGUCCUAAGCUGAGGCCGACAGGCGUAGGCGAUGGAUAACAGGUUGAUAUUCCUGUACCACCUAUAAUCGUUUUAAUCGAUGGGGGGACGCAGUAGGAUAGGCGAAGCGUGCGAUUGGAUUGC
rnacentral:rRNA from 1 species